rnacentral:lncRNA from 1 species
AAGGUCGUGAGAGCUGGAGGAAGAGGCAGAGUGCUGUGCGGCGGCCAUGGCACGGAUCUUAUAUUCAGGAACUCACCGCAGCUGCUCUUACCUAUAUUAGAUCUGCGCUGGGCUGACUGGGUAGGUCAACAUUCCAUCUGAAGGCGUGAGGCACUCACGGCCUCCCUCCAUUCCCAGGGUGUCUAGGCAGAUCACAAAAGCCUCCAACCGUCUUUAAGGAGCAGUGGACAGCUAAUGGUUAUCAGAGGGUGGCAGUUUCUUCAGUGGUGUUCACUGGUAAGUCCUUGAAGUGACCCCACACCCAUACUCAUGUAAGCAUGAUAAAUAAACUCUUUGGGUUACUAAUUCCCCCCUCAAAAGACAUGGAUGUUAAAUGGUGAAUGAUUAGAAAAAGAAAGUGAUCCACGGAAGUAGGAGAAGGCAAGAAACGACGGGGUGACAGGGGACAAAAUACAAUGUGUUCAUGUAGAAAAUGUCCUAAUGAAACCGAGGAUGUGUGAUUAACGUAUGCUAGUAAAAACUUAGAAAAGAAAUACAAAGAUAAAAAUCAUAGCAGGGUCAAAAAAAAAUAAAAUAGAAAAACAAA